UGGGGAAUUGUUCGCAAUGGGCGCAAGCCUGACGACGCAACGCCGCGUGGAGGAUGAAGGUCUUCGGAUUGUAAACUCCUGUUGAUCGGGACGAAAAGCUCCAACCUAAUACGUUGGAGACUGACGGUACCGGUUGAGGAAGCCACGGCUAACUCUGUGCCAGCAGCCGCGGUAAUACAGAGGUGGCAAGCGUUGUUCGGAAUUACUGGGCGUAAAGGGCGCGUAGGCGGCCUUCUAAGUCGGACGUGAAAGCCCCAGGCUUAACCUGGGAACUGCGUCUGAUACUGGGAGGCUUGGAUUCGGGAGAGGGAUGUGGAAUUCCAGGUGUAGCGGUGAAAUGCGUAGAUAUCUGGAGGAACACCGGUGGCGAAGGCGGCAUCCUGGACCGAGAUCGACGCUG
rnacentral:rRNA from 1 species